UACAGAGGUCUCAAGCGUUGUUCGGAUUCAUUGGGCGUAAAGGGUGUGUAGGUGGCGCGCUAAGUCGGGUGUGAAAUUUCGGAGCUUAACUCCGAAACUGCAUUCGAUACUGGCGUGCUUGAGGACUGGAGAGGAGACUGGAAUUCAUGGUGUAGCAGUGAAAUGCGUAGAGAUCGUGAGGAAGACCAGUGGCGAAGGCGGGUCUCUGGACAGUUCCUGACACUGAGACACGAAGGCCAGGGGAGCAAACGGG
rnacentral:rRNA from 1 species